rnacentral:rRNA from 1 species
CGUGUAGGCGGUUACGUAAGCCUGAUGUAAAAAGGCACUGGCUUAACCAGUGAGUUGCGUUGGGAACUGCGUAGCUAGAGUUCAGGAGAGGGAACUGGAAUUCCAGGUGUAGGGGUGAAAUCUGUAGAUAUCUGGAAGAACGCCAAAGACGAAGGUAAGUUCCUGGCCAUGGACUGACGCUGAGGCGCGAAAGCGUGGGGAGCAAACA